ensembl:lncRNA
GUAAUAUUUUAUGCUUCACGGAGUCGUGGCUGAACGACAACACUAUCAACAUACAGCUGGCUGGUUAUACGCUGUACCAGCAGGAUAGAACAGCGGUGUCUGGUAAGACAAGGGGCUGGUGCACAAUAUCUAAGGAAGUCUCGAGCUAUUGCUCGCCUGAGGUAGAGUAUCUCAUGAUAAGCUGUAGACCACACUACCUACCUAGAGAGUUGUCAUCUGUAUUUUUUGUAGCUGUUUACAUACCACCACAGUCAGAGACUGGCACUAAGACAGCAUUUAAUGAGCUGUAUUCCACCAGAAGCAAACAAGAAAUCCUAGUAGCCGGGGACUUUAAUACAGGGAAACUUAAAUCUGUUUUGCCAAAUUUCUAUCUGCAUGUUAAAUGUGCAACCAGAGGGGAAAAAAUUCUGGACCACUUCUACUGCUCACACAGAGACGCAUACAAAGCUCUCCCUCCAUUUGGAAAAUCUGACCAUAAUUCUAUCUUUCUGAUUCCUGCUUACAAAUUAAAAGCAAGAAGCACCAGUGACUAGAUCCAAAAAAAAGUGGUCAAAUGAAGCAGAUGCUAAGCUAGAGGACUGUUUUGCUAGCACAGACUGGAAUAUGUUCCGGGAUUCCUCCGAUGGCAUUGAGGAGUACACCACAUCAGUCAUUGGCUUCAUCAAUAAGUGCAUCAAUGACGUCAUCCCCACAGUGACCGUACGUACACACCCCAACCAGAAGCCAUGGAUUACAGGCAGCAUCGGCACUGAGCUAAAGGCUAGAGCUGCCGCUUUCAAGGAGCGGGACUCUAACCCAGAAGCUUAUAAGAAUUCCCGCUAUGCCUUCCGACGAACCAUCAAACAAACAAAGCGUCAAUACAGGACAAAGAUUGAAUCAUACUACACCAGCUAUGACAUUCAUCGGAUGUGGCAGAGCUUGCAAACCAUUACAGACUACAAAGGAAGCACAGCCGAGAGCUGCCCAGUGACACAAGCCUACCAGACUAGCUAAACUACUUUGAUGAUCGCUUCGAGGCAAAUAACACUGAAACAUGCAUGGGAGCACCAUCUGUUCCGGGAGACUGUGUGAUCACGCUCUCUGCAGCCGAUGUGAGUAAGACCUUUUAAACAGGUCAACAUUCACAAGGCCGCGGGGCCAGAUGGAUUACCAGGACGUGUACUGGGAGCAUGUGCUGACCAACUGACAUGUGUCUUCACUGACAUUUUCAACCUCUCCCUGUUUGAGUCUGUAAUACCAAUGUUUUAAGCAGACCACCAUAGUGCCUGUGCCCACGAACACUAAGGUAACCUGCCUAAAUGACUACAGACCCGUAGCACUCAUGUCUGUAGCCAUGAAGGUCUUUGAAAGGCUGGUCAUGGCUCACAUCAACACAAUCAUACCAGAUACCCUAGACCCACUCCAAUUUGCAUACCGCCCCAACAGAUCCACAGAUGAUGUCAUCUCUAUUGCACUCUACACUAUCCUUUCCCACCUGGACAAAAGGAACACCUAUGUGAGAAUGCUAUUCAUUGACUACAGCUCAGCGUUCAACACCAUAGUGCCCUCAAAGCUCAUCAAUAAGCUAAGGACCCUGGGACUAAAACACUUCCUUCUGCAACUGGAUCCUGGACCUCCUGACAGGCCGCCCCCAGGUUGGGUUGGUAACAACACAUCCGCCACUCUGAUCCUCAACACAGGCCCCUUAGGGGUGCGUGCUCAGUCCCCUCCUGUACUCCCUGUUCACGAUCAGGCACGACUCCAACACCAUCAUUCAUUUUGCCGAUGACACAACAGUGGUAGGCCUGAUCAACAACGAGACAGCCUAUAGGGAGGAGGUCAGAGACCUGGCCAUGUGGUGCCAGGACAACAACCUCUCCCUCAACUUGAUCAAGACAAUGAGAUGAUUGUGGCCUACAGGAAAAAGAGGACCGAGCAUGCCCCCAUUCUCAUCGACGGGGCUGCAGUGGAGCAGGUUGGGAGCUUCAAGUUCCUUGGUGUCCACAUCACCAACAAACUAACAUGGUCCAAGCACACCAAGGCAGUCGUGAAGAGGACACGACAAAACCUAUUGCCCCUCAGGAGACUGAAAGGAUUUGGCAUGGGUCCUCAGAUCCUGAAAAAGUUCUACAGCUGCACCAUCGAGAGCAUGACUGGUUGCAUCACUGCCUGGUAUGGCAACUGCUCAGCCUCCGACCACAAGGCACUACAGAGGGUCGUGUGAACGGCCCAGUACAUCACUGGGGCCAAGCUUCCUGCCAUCCAGGACCUCUAUACCAGGCGGUGUCAGAGGAAGGCCCUAAAAAUUGUCAGACUCCAACCACCCUAGUCAUAGACUGUUUUGUCUGCUACCACAGAGGCAAGCGGUACUGGAGCGCCAUGUCUAGGUCAGAAAGGCUUCUCAAUAGCUUCUACCUCUAAGCCAGAAGACUCCUGAACAUCUAAUCAAAUGGCUACCCAGACUAUUUGCAUUGCCACCCCCCUUUUUUCAAUGCUGCUACUCUGUUAUCAUCUAUGUAGUCACUUUGAUAACUCUACCUACAUGUGCAUACUACCUCAACUAACCGGUGCCCCCGCACAUUGACUCUGCACCGGUACCCCCCUGUAUAUAGUCUCACUAUUGUUAUUUUACUGCUGUUCUUAAUUACUUGUUAGUUUUAUUUCUUAUUCUUAUGUGUAUUUUUUAAACUGCAUUGUUGGUUAGGGGCUCUUAGGUAAGCAUUUCACUGUAAGGUAUGUUGUAUUCGGCACAUGUGACUUAUAAAAUUAGAUUUGAUUUGUCAGAGCAACCAUACACAGACCCUAGUAUCGCUAUCUCCCCCUGUAGGUGGGUAGUGGUAACGGCAGCCUGUCAUGUCAGCCUGGGGAGGAUAUUGACCCCUGUAAAGCAGCAGGCUACCAGGCCAGGAAGUCGGCUAAUGCACGCUGCAGGUAACACACACACCAGACUUUUCAAAAACAUUAGCUGCGCUUGAGCUUGCUAGAUUGAUUGAUUGACCUUUGUUCCUCAGGGUUCUGAAGUCUGCAGUGUUCCAUACCUGCCACCACUUGGUGGCUCCAGAGCCCUGGUAUGCAGCAUGUGUCUAUGACCUGUGUGCCUGUGGAGCCAAUGCUGACGAGUGUCUGUGUGAUGCCCUGGAGGCCUACGCAGCGCAGUGCAGAGAGGCUGGGGCUAGACUGUCCUGGAGGAGCUCCUCACUGUGUGGUAAAUACAAACACAAAACCACAGUAUAAAACAUUAUUUUACCACAGUAAAGGGCCCCAUCUCUCUGUGUUGACAUAAUCUCUCCCUCUCUCCCUGCCCAUUUCUCUCUCUCGAUCUAGCGGUGGGCUGUCCAGUGGAGCGUGGUUUCGUGUUUGAUGAAUGUGGUCCCCCAUGUCCAGUGACCUGUGUUAACCGUGACGUGCCACUAGGGGUGAUAGAGAGUCACUGUUUUAAACCCUGUGUGCCCGGCUGCCAGUGUCCUGCUGGACUCGUAUUACACAACAACCACUGUGUACCACCAGAGACAUGCCCCAAGAUCAUACAUGGCAAGUCCUAACACACACCCACACACAUUCCUAAGGACUGCAUGGACCUCUCCCAACUCUGACAGUGUGAAUGAACUGUCUGAGGUGUCUCACUCACCUGUGGACUUUGUUGUUUUAUAUUAACAUUCUGUGAAGUUGAAUUCAUUUUUAUCAACAUUGUAAUGAAUGCUCUGUAUUUUAUGACUCCACUGUUAAGUGUUUGUGAUGUGACCACUCUGUGCCUCUAACGCUCAGGACAGGGCUGCUGAUACACUAUUGUGCUCUGCAGGGAUGUAGUGGGAAAACACUGUUGAGAAAAUAAAAAGGUGGGUUAACAGUGUUAGCAUGUUGUUACACUCCACUACAUCCCAGGUGCUUUUACUGUAUAAACCUCAUUCUCGGUUGUAUCCACAGGGAAUUAUUACUGUAUAAACCUCAUUCUCGGUUGUAUCCAUAGGGAAUUAUUACUGUAUUAACCUCACUCAUGUUGGGGCGGCAGGGUAGCCUAGUGGUUAGAGCGUUGGACUAGUAACCGGAAGGUUGUGAGUUCAAACCCCUGAGCUGACAAGGUACAAAUCUGUCGUUCUGCCCCUGAACAGGCAGUUAACCCACUGUUCCCAGGCCAACGCUGUUCCCACUGUUCCCAGGCCAAAAUAAAAAAUAAAAAAGGGAAUUAUUACUGUAUAAACCUCAUUCUCAGGUGUAUCCACUGGGAAUUAUUACUGUAUAAACCUCAUUCUCAGUUGUAUCCACAGGGAAUUAUUUGAAUAUAUUAUGUUUCUUUGUCCCUUAAUGUGUUAUGCCAUUCCCUCUGCCAUUUCACAACAAAUAAAGAUAACUAUCCAA